AGAACUUCUCCACCGACCCCGUCACCUGGAUUGGAUCACCGACCUCUCCCAAGAGGGGCCUGGCUUCCUCCUCGCUGGGGAAACGGUAGGGAGCUCCCCUAGGUAAAGCCUCUAGGGAGAGUGGCCAGGAGCCGGGUCAGGAAAGGCUCUGGUGCCCAAAGGGCUGCCCGCAGAGGCUGAGGUCCCUGCAAGUGCACAGGGAGGAGAGGUGAGAUCAGAUUCCAGCCGAGUCAGGCUUCCAUGUCAGACUGCGUGUGUUUAUGCAGAGGUGCAACUCAGGAAUUACUGAGGAGAAAGUACAGGGCCAAUUUAACCUCCUCUGAGAGACCUCUAACCCUGCUCAUCACCACUCCUCGCUAAAAAGGGCCCUCUCCAGGGAAGAACCCAGAGGGAGAGCGGGAAUUCUCCUCCCCUUGGAGGAAGAGUGCUUCCUCUACCCUUAAUGUAUCAACUGACAACAAUUCAAACAGAAGGAAACUAGGAUGUGACAAAUAAAGGAAGCCUUUUCAUGCUCUAUGUCCACUGGCGUCGGGCAAGCCCCGGUGGAAGUCCAAGGAAAAGAGUCUAAGACCCAAACAGAUGGUUUGCGCCAAAGUUCUGAAGUGUAUCAGACGUGAAUAAAGGUCUUCGAUUCCCUGCCCCCUGCCCGAGGACCUGCCUCCUCCCUGCCCGAGGACCAAGCUUCAGAAGAACUGCACAUGGGAGGAAAUACCAACCGCUUAACUUCUUCAGAGACAACCUCUAACCCGGCUCACCACCACGCUAGCUAAAAAAGGGCCCUCUCCCAGGGAAGAUCCCGGAGGAAGAGUGGGAAUUCACCCUCCCCUUGGGGGAGGAGUGCUUUCUCUACCCUUAAUUUAUGAACUGAGAAAAAUCCUAACAAGCCUACUAUGAAAUAAAGAUGCCCUUAACCCGGUCUUAGGUCUAGUGGAAGCUGCUUCGGAGCCAUGGAGAAAAGGCAGCCUGCGCUGAUUGACCAUGAGCCUAAGUACACUGCAUGAACCUUUGGAAGUACCUCUUCUAUGUCUGCCUGAAGUAAGAUAAAGUUGAAAUUUUGGGGUAAAUACUUUGCAUAAUGGCGAACCUGUGAUAGUUUCACAUGGUGAGAGUUUAUAGGGCUCUCAGGGAGUGUGGACUCAUGAGACUAGUGUGACAUCUUUACCAGGGAAGCUACGCCAGAUGCUUUGGAUGGCUUUAGCUCUGUGGUGCCACUGGAUGCCUCAAGGUUCUGAGCAGGCAGAAGGCUUCUUUCAGAGCUCUUCAGUGACAACUCCAGCAAAACUAGAACAAUGAAUUCAUUCUUUACAUUGGGAGCCAGCAUAAUUAUGCUUAUUUAUAUGUUUGCUUUCUCUACCAUACAGUCCAUAAAUCUCCAACCAGUAAAACUCCAAGUAAAUUCUGAGAAAAAUUAAAC
rnacentral:lncRNA from 1 species